rnacentral:rRNA from 1 species
AGAACGGCGAACGCCGACGUGAACGGCGUGUCCCUGCACGUGGCCGAGCAGGGCCCCGCCGACGGCCCGGCGGUGCUCCUCCUACACGGCUUCCCGGAGCUGUGGCUUUCGUGGCGCCACCAGAUGGCCGCUCUUGCCGCGCGCGGCUUCCGCGCCCUGGCCCCCGACCUCCGCGGCUUCGGUGACUCCGACGCUCCGGCUGACCCCGCCGCCUACACCGUCCUCCAUGUCGUUGGCGACAUCGUCGCGCUCCUCGAUCACCUUCGCCUCACCAAGGUGGUGGUAGUGGGGCAUGACUUGGGUGCGCAGGCAGCGUGGCAUCUGUGCCUGUUCCGGCCGGACCGGGUGCUUGCCAUCAUCGCGCUGGGGGUGCCGUACUUCCCACGCUCCCCUCGACCAGUGACGGAGAUGUUCGCGGCGCGUGGCGAUGGGUUCUACAUCACGCAGUACCAGGAGCCCGGAAGAGCUGAAAGGGCAUUCAAUCGGCACGAUGCUGGAACCGUCUUAAAGAAGUUCUACUCCAUUGAAUUAGACGACCUCACUGCUCCUCCUGGAGUGGAGAUGAUAGACUUUUUGGAGGCAUCAUCAUCCCCACUUCCUUGGAUGACUGGGGAAGAACUGGGUCAGUAUGCCGAGAAGUUUCAGAAGUCUGGCUUCACCGGGCCACUCAACUACUACCGCAUGAUGGACACGAAUUGGAUGCUUACCGCGCCAUGGCAUGGCGCGAAGAUCACGGUGCCUGCAAAGUUUAUCGGGGGUGAGAAGGACACUGGUGUCAAGUCCUUUGGAAUCAAACACUACAUCGAGAGCGGAGCUUUCAAGUUCAGUGUUCCAAAUCUUGAGGUCGCCAUCAUUGAAGGUCACCAUUACCUCCAGCAAGAGCAGGCCGAGAAGGUGAACUCUGAGAUAUUCUCCUUCCUGGACAAGUUAUUUGGUGAGGAGACACCGAAAUAG